AUACNUGCAGUCGAGCGGACAGAAGGGAGCUUGCUCCCGGAUGUUAGCGGCGGACGGGUGAGUAACACGUGGGUAACCUGCCUGUAAGACUGGGAUAACUCCGGGAAACCGGAGCUAAUACCGGAUAGUUCCUUGAACCGCAUGGUUCAAGGAUGAAAGACGGUUUCGGCUGUCACUUACAGAUGGACCCGCGGCGCAUUAGCUAGUUGGUGAGGUAACGGCUCACCAAGGCGACGAUGCGUAGCCGACCUGAGAGGGUGAUCGGCCACACUGGGACUGAGACACGGCCCAGACUCCUACGGGAGGCAGCAGUAGGGAAUCUUCCGCAAUGGACGAAAGUCUGACGGAGCAACGCCGCGUGAGUGAUGAAGGUUUUCGGAUCGUAAAGCUCUGUUGUUAGGGAAGAACAAGNUGCAAGAGUAACUGCUUGCACCUUGACGGUACCUAACCAGAAAGCCACGGCUAACUACGUGCCAGCAGCCGCGGUAAUACGUAGGUGGCAAGCGUUGUCCGGAAUUAUUGGGCGUAAAGGGCUCGCAGGCGGUUUCUUAAGUCUGAUGUGAAAGCCCCCGGCUCAACCGGGGAGGGUCAUUGGAAACUGGGAAACUUGAGUGCAGAAGAGGAGAGUGGAAUUCCACGUGUAGCGGUGAAAUGCGUAGAGAUGUGGAGGAACACCAGUGGCGAAGGCGACUCUCUGGUCUGUAACUGACGCUGAGGAGCGAAAGCGUGGGGAGCGAACAGGAUUAGAUACCCUGGUAGUCCACGCCGUAAACGAUGAGUGCUAAGUGUUAGGGGGUUUCCGCCCCUUAGUGCUGCAGCUAACGCAUUAAGCACUCCGCCUGGGGAGUACGGUCGCAAGACUGAAACUCAAAGGAAUUGACGGGGGCCCGCACAAGCGGUGGAGCAUGUGGUUUAAUUCGAAGCAACGCGAAGAACCUUACCAGGUCUUGACAUCCUCUGACAACCCUAGAGAUAGGGCUUUCCCUUCGGGGACAGAGUGACAGGUGGUGCAUGGUUGUCGUCAGCUCGUGUCGUGAGAUGUUGGGUUAAGUCCCGCAACGAGCGCAACCCUUGAUCUUAGUUGCCAGCAUUCAGUUGGGCACUCUAAGGUGACUGCCGGUGACAAACCGGAGGAAGGUGGGGAUGACGUCAAAUCAUCAUGCCCCUUAUGACCUGGGCUACACACGUGCUACAAUGGACAGAACAAAGGGCUGCGAGACCGCAAGGUUUAGCCAAUCCCACAAAUCUGUUCUCAGUUCGGAUCGCAGUCUGCAACUCGACUGCGUGAAGCUGGAAUCGCUAGUAAUCGCGGAUCAGCAUGCCGCGGGUGAAUACGUUCCCGGGCCUUGUACACACCGCCCGUCACACCACGAGAGUUUGCAACACCCGAAGUCGGUGAGGUAACCUUUAUGGAGCCAGCCGCCGAAGGUGGGGCAGAUGAUUGGGGUG
rnacentral:rRNA from 1 species